UGGGGAAUCUUGCACAAUGGGGGCAACCCUGAUGCAGCGACGCCGCGUGAGCGAUGAAGCCCUUCGGGGCGUAAAGCUCUUUCGACAGGAACGAUAAUGACGGUACCUGGAGAAGAAGCUGCGGCUAACUACGCGCCAGCAGCCGCGGUAAUACGUAGGCAGCGAGCGUUGUUCGGAGUUACUGGGCGUAAAGAGUGCGUAGGCGGCGAGCCAAGUUUGGUGUGAAAUCUCCCGGCUUAACCGGGAGGGUGCGCCGAAAACUGGUUGGCUGGAGUAUGGGAGAGGAAAGCGGAAUUCCUGGUGUAGCGGUGAAAUGCGUAGAUAUCAGGAGGAACACCUGCGGUGUAGACAGCUUUCUGGUCCAAAACUGACGCUGAGGCACGAAAGCGUGGGUAGCAAACA
rnacentral:rRNA from 1 species